AGAGUUUGAUCCUGGCUCAGAACGAACGCUGGCGGCGUGCCUAACACAUGCAAGUCGAGCGCGAAUGGAGCAAUCCUAGUAGAGCGGCGCACGGGUGCGUAACACGUGGAUAAUCUGCCUGGGUGUCUGGGAUAACCAGUCGAAAGAUUGGCUAAUACCGGAUAAGCCCCCGGGAGCUUCGGCUCUUGAGGGAAAAGGUGGCCUCUGUAUACAAGCUAUCACAUCCAGAUGAGUCCGCGGCCCAUCAGCUAGUUGGCGGGGUAAUGGCCCACCAAGGCAACGACGGGUAGCUGGUCUGAGAGGACGAUCAGCCACACUGGAACUGAGACACGGUCCAGACUCCUACGGGAGGCAGCAGUGGGGAAUUUUGCGCAAUGGGCGAAAGCCUGACGCAGCAACGCCGCGUGUGUGAUGAAGGUCUUCGGAUUGUAAAGCACUUUCGACCGGGACGAAAACCCAUUGGCUAACAUCCAAUGGCUUGACGGUACCGGGAGAAGAAGCACCGGCUAACUCUGUGCCAGCAGCCGCGGUAAUACAGAGGGUGCAAGCGUUGUUCGGAAUUAUUGGGCGUAAAGCGCGUGUAGGCGGCUUUGCAAGUCGGGUGUGAAAGCCCUCAGCUCAACUGAGGAAGUGCGCCCGAAACUGCAGAGCUUGAGUGCCGGAGAGGGUGGCGGAAUUCCCCAAGUAGAGGUGAAAUUCGUAGAUAUGGGGAGGAACACCGGUGGCGAAGGCGGCCACCUGGACGGUAACUGACGCUGAGACGCGAAAGCGUGGGGAGCAAACAGGAUUAGAUACCCUAGUAGUCC
rnacentral:rRNA from 1 species